GGAAGCCCAGCUGGGCGCCCACUCCCCUUUCCCUGUGUCAUGGCUCAGAGGAACCUAAAACCGAAGAGGAAGCUGAAGUGUUGCCCGUGCCUCCCCUGGCCGGGGUCAGACGAGGAUGGGGCUGGAGAGCAGUGCAUUCCUUUAGAAUCAGAUGAAGAAGCAAAACUUCUUGGCCACUUUGAAAACUCUGAUGACCACCAGGAAAACUUCAGUAAAGUUUAUUACCAAAUAAAAGAAAAAGCUAGAAAACACAAGAAGCAACAGAAGGCUUCAAUGAACAGUCAGAAUAUGCAACUGUGUAAAGACAGAGAAGUCACAAUAGGUUUAGAGAACCACAGUCUGUCGAAGAAUGCUCCAAACAUUUCCAAUGCUUCAGCUUUUAAGAAGAAUAAAAAUUCUAAAAGCAAAAAUCUUGGCAAUGAUAUAAAAAAUGGUCUGGAGUUUAUCAAACCAACCCAAGAUGAUGGUUUUCCGAACCAAGUUUUUUCUCUUUCAUCUCUGUCUUUAUCUAUUAUGGAAAAGAAAGCAAAGGGGGAAAAAAUACCUCAAAAAAGCAAUAGGCAAGACCAGCUGCCAGACAGAAAUUUCAAAAGAGUUUGUAAAAGCCCCAGACUCCCAAAGAGGAAUAAAAACAAGGCUGAACCACUCUGUCAGCACUUCCAUGCCCUCCUGUCACAAACUCCCUCCUUAAAUGAGAGCAAUGACGAACAGGUAGCCCACAUUUCUAGAGACAAUGAAGAUGGUAAAGCCUUGUGUGAAUGGAAGGGUAUUAAUUCUGCAUUAUGCUAUUUUGAAGAUGGCAUCCUAACUGGUUUCAAGAAGCGUCAGAAACCACAUAAGAGAAUCUUGUUCAGGGAGGGAAUAGGAGUUAAAACCCCUGAAACAAAUGGUCUACAGCCUCUUUUAUCAUCUAGUCCUAUUGCCCUGGAAAUUAACACUUCUGAUUCAGAGGAGGAAUUCCAUACAGGAAGCCUGAUAGAGAAUCGGGAUUCUCCAAUGGUGAAGUCAAGUACUGAAGAAAUGUGCAGCAGUUUUGAUCAUAGCCAAGAUAUUUUUUUAACUCAGAGGUCUUUAUUAUCAAGGCAUGUAUCCGAUAGUCCCAGCAGUUCUUCAUCAUCACCUGCUCCUAAACGGGCCAAGAAGGGAAGUAGGGAUCUGAGUGCUAAACCCACUCAUUCUCCAAAUAAUUUGCCACAGUUGUCUUCAAGUGGAGAAACUGUUUUGAAUGGAGAAACAGUUCCAGAGAAUAACAACCUUUCUCAGGAUAAUUUAAAAGGCUUUGAGGAAAUCAGAAAAUAUUCAGGUACAAAAGAAAGAGCUGUUCAGACAGAGGAUUUCUUUGGUUCCUCAGUAUUAGCUACCUCUUUACUCUUUAGAAGAGAAGUAGAUUUGUGUGAAAAGCCCCUGGACUUGACUUUGCCUGGAAGAAGCAGGUCAUGGGUUGGCAGUUCUGAGAAUGAUUCCUGUACCAUUUUAGCUGCUGGUGAUGUAGUUCACAUGAUUUCCCAAAAUGUUUCUGAGACUGUAAGUCCCAUGGAAGAUCAGACAAUAGGUUCAGGGUUAGCAACUGCUGUUCUUAGUGAUGACAGCCGGGAGAAGUGUGCUUGUAAUCAGCUGAGAAAACCAGAUGAGGUAAAAUAUAUUCAGACAAAGCUUAAUUCAUCCUUUUUCUUUAAAACGAAAGAUGAACCAGAUGCCAACAUUCCUAAAGAGUCUUCAGUAAAAUUAAAUAACAAAACAAACAAAGAUUCUAUCUAGAAAUUGAAUAGAGAUAGUAGACGCACAGUUCUAAAAACAUAGUUAUAUAAUUUGCAUGUUCCACUAGAAUAUCUUGCCUUCAAGAAAGAUGGAAUUUUUCUCAUUUAAUUUUAAAUGUAUAUCCUUCAUAGGUUUAAGAAAAUAGAUUGGGGAGUUGGCAAUUUAACUUCUUUGUGAUGCUAAAAUGAAAUUUCAACCAAGGUAGAUAUUUAAAACACAGAGAGAGCCAAGGCCUGCUCUACUUUUGAAUUAGAGGGCACCAUCUUAAUAUCAAUCCUUUAUCUUUUCAAGAAGUAAAAGUGAUAAUGCUCAUUAUGGCUAUGUCUAUAAUACACUAAAAACUGAGAUGAAAAGUGGGAAAAUUAAGUCAGUUACCCAGUGUGUAGGCAAAACAUCAUGAAGACUUAGAGGUCUUUGGGCAACAAGGUAGACAACCUGUACGUAGGUUGGCUUGCCGCAAGCCACAUUUAAUUAAGCCAGGCCUUUGUAAGCUUAGUCUCAAUCCACUGAGCCGCGGGCAUUAAUUUUCAGUAUCAUGAGCAGUGGGAGAAGAAAUCUUCCCCUAAAUUUCCACCUGGGCAUUUAAGGGAGAAGGAUAUCAUUUCUGGAAGAAUGGUCUGCUCAAUUUUCUUUAUUGUCCACAAUUUCAGAUGUUGAAAUGGUACUCCCUAGGCAUUUAGGAUAUCUACAGCUUUCAUAUCACAUUUUCUAACUAGUAGAUAUAGUAGUUAUUAUAGAGAUAAUAUUGAGUAAGGAAAGGUUAGAGGUGAUAUGACUAUAUAUGCUUUAUAAUGGAGCACCGUUUGGGGGCCUAAAAUAAUUUUAUGUGGUAUUGUGCUUUCAAAUAAUUACUUUUUCUUCUGAAUUUUCAGCCGUGAGCUAUUAGAAACAAUUUGAGGUUUGCUCAGUUAUUCCUCUUCUCAGAUGACAAAAGCUUCAUUUCUGUACCCCAAUUUUUUAGUAUGUUAUGACCUGUCAGACAUGUAUAUGUGUGUGUGUUGUGUGUUUAAGUAUAGUUAGUAAUUUCUUCAUUGAACUUCACUAAGUGUUAAAAGAUGACUCCAAAGAAUUAGUGAUAGCUUGAAUUGACAUUGGAUUCAGAGAGAAAACCUGUGAAACAAAGUCAUAAACUUUUUCUUGUUCUUUGACUUUAUGUUGAAAUAAAAGUCCUUUUUGCGUUGGCUUUUCUCUUUUC
rnacentral:lncRNA from 1 species